AGAGGGUGCAAGCGUUGUUCGGAAUUAUUGGGCGUAAAGCGCGUGUAGGCGGCUUAGCAAGUCGGGCGUGAAAGCCCUCGGCUCAACCGAGGAAGUGCACCCGAAACUGCUGAGCUUGAGUGCCGGAGAGGAUGGCGGAAUUCCCCAAGUAGAGGUGAAAUUCGUAGAUAUGGGGAGGAACACCGGUGGCGAAGGCGGCCAUCUGGACGGUAACUGACGCUGAGACGCGAAAGCGUGGGUAGCAAACAGGAUUAGAUACCCUGGUAGUCCACGCCGUAAACGAUGAGAACUAGAUGUCGCGGGUGUUGACCCCUGCGGUGUCGCAGCUAACGCAUUAAGUUCUCCGCCUGGGAAGUACGGUCGCAAGAUUA
rnacentral:rRNA from 1 species